rnacentral:rRNA from 1 species
UACGUAGGUGGCAAGCGUUAUCCGGAAUCACUGGGCGUAAAGCGCACGUAGGCGGCUUGUUAAGUCAGGGGUGAAAUCCUGGAGCUCAACUCCAGAACUGCCUUUGAUACUGGCGAGCUUGAGUCCGGGAGAGGUGAGUGGAACUGCGAGUGUAGAGGUGAAAUUCGUAGAUAUUCGCAAGAACACCAGUGGCGAAGGCGGCUCACUGGCCCGAUACUGACGCUGAGGCACGAAAGCGUGGGGAGCAAACAGG